GAUGAACGCUGGCGGCGUGCCUAAUACAUGCCAGUCGAGCGAACAGAUGAGGAGCUUGCUCCUCUGACGUUAGCGGCGGACGGGUGAGUAACACGUGGAUAACCUACCUAUAAGACUGGGAUAACUUCGGGAAACCGGAGCUAAUACCGGAUAAUAUAUUGAACCGCAUGGUUCAAUAGUGAAAGACGGUUUUGCUGUCACUUAUAGAUGGAUCCGCGCCGCAUUAGCUAGUUGGUAAGGUAACGGCUUACCAAGGCAACGAUGCGUAGCCGACCUGAGAGGGUGAUCGGCCACACUGGAACUGAGACACGGUCCAGACUCCUACGGGAGGCAGCAGUAGGGAAUCUUCCGCAAUGGGCGAAAGCCUGACGGAGCAACGCUGCGUGAGUGAUGAAGGUCUUCGGAUCGUAAAACUCUGUUAUUAGGGAAGAACAAAUGUGUAAGUAACUAUGCACGUCUUGACGGUACCUAAUCAGAAAGCCACGGCUAACUACGUG
rnacentral:rRNA from 1 species